rnacentral:ncRNA from 2 species
AAAAUAUUAUUUUACUAAGGUGCCUCUAGCUAAUAAGAGGAGAAUAGGGAAUCAGGUUAAAAUCCUGAGCGGUCCCGCCACUGUAACUAGCAUUUUUGGACUUUGUUCCACCUAAUUUUUAGGGAAGGACUAAGUUUUUCAGCUAGAAGUCAGGAGACCUGCCUGAGUAAAUUACCUAUA